rnacentral:rRNA from 1 species
GGGGAAUAUUGCACAAUGGGGGAAACCCUGAUGCAGCGACGCCGCGUGAGUGAAGAAGUAUUUCGGUACGUAAAGCUCUAUCAGCAGGGAAGAAAAUGACGGUACCUGACUAAGAAGCCCCGGCUAACUAC